CCCGCUCAGAAACUAAGGAAUUGACGGGGCCGCACAAGCAGCGGAGCGUGUGGUUUAAUUCGAUGCUACACGAAGACCUACCCGGGUUUGACAUGCAAGUGGUAGUGAUCCGAAAGGUGAACGACCCGCAAGGGAGCUUGCACAGGUGUUUGCAUGGCUGUCGUCAGCUCGUGUCGUGAGAUGUUCGGUUAAGUCCGCUAACGAGCGCAACCCUCGCUGUAUGUUACAUGUGUCAUACAGGACCGCCGGUAUCAAGCCGGAGGAAGGUGGGGAUGACGUCAAGUCCGCAUGGCCUUUAUGUCCGGGGCUACACACACGCUACAAUGGUCGGUACAAUGGGUUGCUAAGCCGCGAGGUGGAGCCAAUCCCCCAAAGCCGGCCUCAGUUCAGAUUGCAGGCUGCAACUCGCCUGCAUGAAGCUGGAGUUGCUAGUAAACGCGCGUCAGCUAUAGUGCGUUGAAUACGUUCUCGGGCCUU
rnacentral:rRNA from 1 species